CCUACGGGUGGCAGCAGUGAGGAAUAUUGGUCAAUGGGCGUAAGCCUGAACCAGCCAAGUAGCGUGAGGGAUGACGGUCCUACGGAUCGUAAACCUCUUUUAUAAGGGAAUAAAGUGAGGGACGUGUCCCGUUUUGUAUGUACCUUAUGAAUAAGGAUCGGCUAACUCCGUGCCAGCAGCCGCGGUAAUACGGAGGAUCCGAGCGUUAUCCGGAUUUAUUGGGUUUAAAGGGUGCGUAGGCGGGGUGUUAAGUCAGUUGUGAAAGUUUGUGGCUCAACCAUAGAAUUGCAGUUGCGACUGGGAGGCUUGAGUACGUUUGAGGCAGGCGGAAUGCGUGGUGUAGCGGUGAAAUGCUUAGAUAUCACGCAGAACCCCGAUUGCGAAGGCAGCUUGCCAAGCCAUGACUGACGCUGAUGCACGAAAGCGUGGGGAUCAAACAGGAUUAGAUACCCGAGUAGUC
rnacentral:rRNA from 1 species